GAUGAACGCUGGCGGCGUGCCUAAUACAUGCAAGUCGAGCGAACGGACGAGAAGCUUGCUUCUCUGAUGUUAGCGGCGGACGGGUGAGUAACACGUGGAUAACCUACCUAUAAGACUGGGAUAACUUCGGGAAACCGUAGCUAACACCGGAUAAUAUUUUGAACCGCAUGGUUCAAAAGUGAAAGACGGUCUUGCUGUCACUUAUAGAUGGAUCCGCGCUGCAUUAGCUAGUUGGUAAGGUAACGGCUUACCAAGGCAACGAUGCAUAGCCGACCUGAGAGGGUGAUCGGCCACCCUGGAACUGAGACACGGUCCAGACUCCUACGGGAGGCAGCAGUAGGGAAUCUUCCGCAAUGGGCGAAAGCCUGACGGAGCAACGCCGCGUGGGUGAUGAAGGUCUUCGGAUCGUAAAACUCUGUUAUUAGGGAAGAACAUAUGUGUAAGUAACUGUGCACAUCUUGACGGUACCUAAUCAGAAAGCCACGGCUAACUACGUG
rnacentral:rRNA from 1 species